AGCAAAGAAAAUAAGGAAAGCUUUGCUUUAAAAAUUGUCAUUCCUGCCAGUAGAAAUGAUGUGUGGACGGUGGACCACGAAGUGUCAACCAUGGUGGUUCUCUGCCACGGUGCGGACCUUGGAUUAGUCAGAGCUUUAAGUCAUCUUCAGGCUGUCAACGAAACAACCUUGCCCGUCUUCUUCUUCGAAGCUGCGAAACUCUUUGAACGGGCAUGUAGAGAGCUUCUCCUUUGACCUCUUCUUCUCCUUGUCUCCGGCUGUAGCUGGAGAUUUGGGGAAUUGUGACAGCAAAAGCAUGCGUCUUUGGGUCAAUGGCCAUUUUGUUUGCUGCUCAGUGUGCCCAUGCGUGGUGGUGCUCUCCGAACACGGCUUCAAGCCUUCAAUUUCAAGUCACUUGCUUGUCUUUACAGAGCGAAGAGAGAGAGAGACGCAGAUUUGCACAGAGGAGCGGCCAUGGUUGUUCUUGAGAAGAGAAGCAGUGGUGUGAAGGCCUUGUGCCCCUUCUAGAGGAUCACCAGUAACGAUGAUUAGGAGAUGGCGCUGCUACGGACUCUGGAAAGCAACUUACGGAAUCAGGCACUAUGUUGUGGUGACAGAUGGAGGACCGCGGACGUCUUCUUUCUCAGGACGGAUCAUGGACGAUGGAGGGCAUCAAUCACUUAGAUUUGGUUGGAACUUCACGGGGUGGUUUAGACCACCCCGAAGAAAUUCAUGUGAUUUUGGAGAUUAUUUCUGCAUCUUUUUAAUGGGAGCACAUCUUUCUUUUUGCGGCUGUUGCUGACCAAAGUUUACUCAAGACAAUGCUUGCCUGCAAAAUAAAUUUACUGGAGAGAAAAUGAAGAAAAAUGAGACAUAGGUUUUGUACCUUUUGAUUGUUGCUUGUAGUUUGCUCUCCUUCCUUGAAAGGCUUGGUUCAGAAUUGCCGGUAAUGGAAUUACUUCUUGUCUUCUGUUCCGGCAAUACUUCGUUGCUUCUUUUCUUUUUUCUCCAUUUCUACUGCAGCUAGUGCCUAUUUAUAGGCAUCCAAGCGCCAUGUUCUCUGCCACUUUCUCUUAACUUCCCCCACUAAUUGUAUGCAGUCCUCCAUGUUCUUUUGUUGCAGAAAAAUAGGGAGCUCAUGUUUUGCACGUCAUCUUCUUUUGUGCAAAGAAACACACAUUUUUCUUACGAUUUAUUUAUUUAUUUAAUACAUAACUGACAGCACGUCUUCUUUUGUUGAGGAAGCCAUGUUUUUCACGGCUUCUUCCCUUGUAAAAGCAAUUUACUUAUUAUUAAUAUAUUUUCCUUUGUGAAAAUAUAUGGCUCAA